CCCCGCCUCCCGCCCCAUUCCUUCCCCUCCUUCACUCCUCCCUCUCCCCCAAGUCUCGGGUGAGAUCACCACGGAGCGGCUUAGCGCGGCGCACAAGUCUCGCGAGAGAAGCGGCGGCUGGGCCCUGCAGGCGGAGGAAGUGGAAAAAGUCGCGGGAGGGUAGGGGACCGCGGAACUUCUGGUUGCUAUGACGACGGCAAAGCCCUGGAUUCCUGUCUCCUGCGGAGAGCAGAGGCUGCAAACACUAGUCUCACUCUGUUGCCCAGGCUGGAGUGCAGUGGCGCGAUCUCAGCUUACUUCAGCCUCCGCCUCCCGGUUUCAAGUGAAUUCUCCAGCCUCAACUUCACAAGUAGCUGGGAUUACAGGGCAUUCAAGCAGCCCUGAGGAGAGGUCCACAUGGUGAGCCACUGAGGGCCUUGCCAAGAGCCAGCACCAACGGUCCAGGUUUGGAGUGUACCACCUUGGAAGUGAAUCUUCCAGUCCAGUCAAGCCUUCAGAUGACUUCAGAACCGUCCAUGUAAGCCACUCUUGGAUUCCUGACCCACAGAAACUGUUGGAGUAAGUGAUGUUUCUGAAGCACCAAUGAAAAUGAAGUCCUGAAGUCCUGUGCUCAAUAUGAAAUGUUGGAAGUUAGAAGAAAAAAACAAAACUUGGAUCCAAUCUCAAGGCACUUUUUGUUUAAUGGGAAGAAGUGGAUUAUUUUA
rnacentral:lncRNA from 1 species